rnacentral:misc_RNA from 1 species
GAUUUUAUCAAUUCGGUUCUGUUCGGAACCAAGCCGACCGUUUGCACACCAUGAUCCGUUGUAAACAUGCUAAAUGAGGUUCUUACUUCUUUGGAAUGGAGUAGGAUCAAGUUAUAAUGAAAUACCCAGAUUGCCAAUUGGCCUUGCUGUGUUUCUAAAGGCAGACAUUUUUUGCCUUUCCUUUUUUUCAAUUGAUAUGGGAUAUUAGACUCAUCAUCCAAUAAAUGUA